GGGCUGACAGUUCUCCUGAGUGAAAAGGAGUAAAGUAGCGGGGAUGUGGUGGCCGUGCUGACAAUGAGUUUUCUUGAAGGCUUUUUUGGUCCAGUUUGUGAGAUUGAUAUGUCUUUAAUGAUGGAGAAGCCAGGAAAAUGACAGAAAUGAAAACUGAAGAUGGCAAAGUAGAAAAACACCAUCUCUUUAUAAUGGAGAAUCUGUUUCAGGGAAGGUCAAAUGGAACUUUACAAUGACAAGAGUAAUGCUCAUGAAUUUAUAAACCUAAUGAAAGAACUAGCCUUACCUGGAGAACUGACUCAGAGAAGAAGUUAUGAUUUUGAGUUUAUGCAAGUUAAAAAGCCAUAUGCAUCUGACAUCGGUGCCAGUGUUCACUUGAGGUAUUUUCUUAAAGUGACAAUAGUGAGAAGACUGACAGAUUUAGUAAAAGAAUGUGAUCUUAUUGUUCACCAGCUUGCCACCUGUCCUGAUGUUAACAACUGUAUUAAGAUAGAAGUGGGCAUUGAAGAUUGUCUACAUAUAUAAUUUGAAUAUAGUAAGUCAAAGUAUCAUUUAAAGCAUGUAAUUGUUGGAAAAAUUUACUUCUUAGUAGUAAGAAUAAAAAUACAACAUAUGGAGUUACAACUGAUCAAAAAAGAGAUCACAGGAAUUGGACCCAGUACCACAGCAGAAACAGAAACAUCACCAAAUAUGAAAUAAUGGAUGGUGCACCAGUAAAAGGUGAAUCAAUUCCAAUGAGACUGUUUUUAGUGGGAUAUGACCCUACUCCAACAAUCAGAUGUGAACCAAAAAGUUUCAGUAAGGUACUUUUUGAAUUUAGUGUUUGUUGAUGAGGAAGACUGAAGGUACUUCAAACAGCAGGAGAUCAUUUUAUGAAGAAAAGCUCCUGAAAAACUGAGGAAACAGAGAAAAAACUUUCACCAGUGAUUUGAAUCUCCAGAAUCACAGGCAUCUGCUCAACAGCCUGAAAUGUGAACUGAAUAGG
rnacentral:lncRNA from 1 species